ensembl:lncRNA
ACAGGAAGUGCCUGCGUACGAACAGGAAGCGCAUGGCAUAACAUGUUUGGAGAGCUCAGAUGGCCCUCUCACUCGGCCCUGAGGAAAAGGACACUGUGGCCACGGCUUCUAAUCUCCCAGAGACGCAACUGGACACCACUGCAAUUGCUGAUUAUGGACUGUCUACUUUAAAUGACCGCACAGUCCAGAUCAAAGGAGGCUUAUGAGGAGCAGAUGGGCGGGGCCUGAGCUCUUCAUGCAGACUGUCCAGAGAUCGCCACUGCCUCGAGGAUCCCCAGAAGUGGUCAAGCAGUUUCAGCCUCCUGUGACAGUAGAAAUUACCAGCAGUCUUGAGUGAACGGACGGUCCAGAGAAGACCACAGAGUCCUGCCUCGGGGUCCUAGGAGUGGCCAAGUGAGUUCAGCCUGCUGUGAAAAUUGCCAGCGGAAUGAGUUGGAGGACGAUUCAGAGAACACAACAGGCUCCUGCUUCAGGGGCAAGCAGCUUUAGCCUCCUGUGGAAAUUGCCAACUUUGCGAUUUGAGUAACGGUGUUAUUUCUUGCA